UACGGAGGGGGCUAGCGUUGUUCGGAAUUACUGGGCGUAAAGGGCCAGUAGGCGGCCAACUAAGUCGGAUGUGAAAUCCCCAGGCUUAACCUGGGAACUGCAUCCGAUACUGGAUGGCUUGAAUUCGGGAGAGGGAUGCAGAAUUCCAGGUGUAGCGGUGAAAUGCGUAGAUAUCUGGAGGAAUACCGGUGGCGAAGGCGGCAUCCUGGACCGACAUUGACGCUGAACGGCGAAAGCUAGGGGAGCAAACGGG
rnacentral:rRNA from 1 species